rnacentral:rRNA from 1 species
CCAGCACCCCGAGUGGUCGGGACGAUUAUUGGGCCUAAAGCAUCCGUAGCCGGUUUUACAAGUCCUCCGUUAAAUCCAACUGCUUAACAGAUGGGCCGCGGAGGAUACUAUAAGACUAGGAGGCAGGAGAGGCAAGCGGUACUCAGUGGGUAGGGGUAAAAUCCGUUGAUCCAUUGAAGACCACCAGUGGCGAAGGCGGCUUGCCAGAAUGCGCUCGACGGUGAGGGAUGAAAGCUGGGGGAGCAAACCGGAUUAGAUACCCGGGUAGUCCCAGCUGUAAACGAUGCAGACUCGGUGAUGGACUAGCUUCAUGCUAGUCCAGUGCCGCAGGGGAAGCCGUUAAGUCUGCCCGCCUGGGUAGUACGGUCGCAAGACUG